rnacentral:rRNA from 1 species
AGCAGCCGCGGUAAUUCCGGCUCCAAUAGCGUAUAUUAAAGUUGUUGCAGUUAUAAAGCUCGUAGUUGAAUUUCGGGAUCAAAUUGUCGGUCGUGCCUCGGUACGUACUGGUAUUAUUGGUUCCUACCUUCUGACGAACCACGAUGUCAUUAAUUUGGUGUCGCGGGAAAUCAGGACUGUUACUUUGAAAAAAUUAGAGUGUUUAAAGCAGGCUCGCGCUUGAAUACAUUAGCAUGGAAUAAUGAAAUAGGACGUUUGAUUCUAUUUUGUUGGUUUCUAGGAUCGACGUAAUGAUUAAUAGGGAUAGUUGGGGGCAUUAGUAUUCAAUUGUCAGAGGUGAAAUUCUUGGAUUUAUUGAAGACUAACUACUGCGAAAGCAUUUGCCAAGGAUGUUUUCAUUAAUCAAGAACGAAAGUUAGGGGAUCGAAGACGAUCAGAUACCGUCGUAGUCUUAACCAUAAACUAUGCCGACUAGGGAUCGGAUGAUGUAAUUUUUAA